AGGAAUCAUAAACUGAAAGCACAAAAAAGAUGCUUUCCAUUUUUUACUCAAUUUUGGCGCAAGUUUUAAAAUUGGUUGCAGAUACGACGAACAUGAGGUUAGUGCCUGUAAUCACAGGCUCUAUUUAUAUAUCUUAAUAUCGAAUCUAUCAGUUUUAUAUUAAGUAGUAGAUUUGAGUUGUUUCCGGUUUUCACUAAAAUAAUUAAUUACAUGGAAUAAAAUGAUGGGAUUAAUAUUAUUUUUUGUUAUAUCAUUUUAGUGGAAAAUAAAUAAAUUAUAAGUUGUUUGGUAUAUCCCUAGGCGAAGCCUAGCUCACACCAUAGAGAUAAUUAGAAAAUGUAGUUGUUGGAUCAUUGGGAAGGGUCAAAAGGUUAACAUUUGGGAAGAUAACUCGAUACCCUCGUAGUGUAGGUUUAAAAGUACUAACACAAAAGAAAAUAUGCUAAACAAUACUUUUAUAGCCAUAGACAGAACUUGCAUCAACGAUAUCCUUUUAAACAACUUCAAUGAAGAGGAUUGUCUUGGCUGGCAUCCUAGCAAAGAUGGGAUGUAUACGGUUAAAUCAGGGUAUCAUAGCAUAAUGGAGUGGAAGAACAGACAGAAGGAGGAGAGCUCCAACAAAGAGGUGGAAAAAGAAGUUUGGAAGAAGGUGUGGAAUAGCAAUGUCCCACCUAGGAAACAAUUUAUCCUAUGGAGAUUGUUUUUUAACUUGUUGCCACUUAAAAGCAACCUCAGUAAAAGAAACAUUCCUACAGACUACCUAGGUCUUAGAUGCAAGGAAACGAUUAAAACAUUGGAUCAUUGUUUCAUGGAACGUUGGUGGCUUAUAGGCAAAAUGGAUAGUAAGAUGUCUGGAACAUGUUGUGUGACUUCUUGAUGUGUGUGCUAGACAGGUUGAAUUCUCAUGCACUCCAGGUUUGUUCAAGUCCAAUUUUUUGUUAUAGUUGCUUUGAAAGAAAGAUUUGGAUUAAUUAAGAAGAUUUGGAAGAUUGGAUUUGCAUUGAAGAAGAAACCUACUCAUAUGAUAAUGAAGAUUGGGUUAAUUUUGUUUCAUCAGGAGUUAUUCUAGCUUUCUGUUCUGAUGUUCUAGCUUCAAUCUUGAUGUUUUGGCUUUCUGUUCAAUAUAUUUGCUCAGGGUUGUUGUUGAUAGUUUCUACUCCUGAUUUUUGUAUGAUCUUGUCUGACAAGUUCACUGACUAUGUUCAUGGCUAAUACUGACCAAGUUACUGCUAAUUACGCUAAUGGAGCUUUGUCAAAUUGUGGCAAAAAGGGAGAGUAAUGGUGUGUAAGGGUGGUAUGUUCAAAAUAACUAUCUACUGACUUUGUGGUGUAUGAGUAUUGUUGAUAUGUUGUUGACUGGUGUACUUAGUACCAACUGGUGUGUUUGGUACUAACUAUUCUGAUCUGGUGUGUGCUUACAUAUUGGAGCAUCUAGCAUGACCUUUGGCCCUUGUGUGAUCUAAUAUAUGUGUUAGUAGUAUUUGUUGAUUCUAACUUGACUACUAAUUGUGUGUUCAUGCAUGACUAACUUUGUGGUUGCAUGACUGACUAUUAUGGAGCAUUGAUUGUAUGUAGCAACCUCGUGAUUUCUGACUUACGCUACUGAUGUGUUUUCUCCUCUUGUUGAUGUGUGCUCUGCUUGAUUUGUACUUUUGUUUCUACUAAUGUUUGUUUUAAGUAUGGGUUGUUUAUGAUACUCAUUUGUGUUAUGUCUUGAAGAGUUAUUUUGCUAAAAAAAUCAAACGGGGAGAUUGUUGUUCCUUUUGUAUUUGUUGUAUUAUGCAAAACAAUCUGGAGUGUUCAAGUUGUUUUGGCACAUAAGGGAUACAUGUGGGACGAGAUAUUCCAACAUGUGUGCGGCAUCUGGCCCUUAUUCAGCGGGACAACGUUAUUGCAUUUUGGAGCGAUUUUCUAGUUGUUUCAAUCAAAUUUAUUGCAGAUUUGUUGUUAUCUUUUAGCAAUGCAUUUAUGUUGAUUUGUUUGUUUAUAUUUGACGUAAUUCAUUCGAUUUUAAUUAGAAAUUUGAAUUUGAAUUAGAAUCAUAACAAAUCAUAUCUUUUGUAUAUUUUUGGGGAAAAAAUAAAUCACAACCAACUCUUCUUUAAUUCUGGACGAGAUCAAAGUUACCCAUGGCCAUUGGAAAAAUCUCAGAAGAAACAUUAUUAUUUAAGGAUACUUAAACCUCACGUUUGAGGGUGUGCAUGUAUUGAAGAUUCGUGUGUUAGGGUUUAUCCUUGGAGUAUUUGUUUUUGUUGUUAAUUUUGCACCACUCUAUUGAUUCAUCCAUAUCUAAAGGCAUAGAGUUUGGUGUGUUUAGUUGAGUUAUAAUUCAAUAUUCUCUAAGUUAUUUAUUGAAGUGUGUCACUUGGGAUUAGUGAUUAAAAAAAGUGAGAAUGGUUCUCAUAUUUAAUGGGGUACCUAAAUAGAAAGUCACUAGGAUUAGGAAGAUACAUUGAACAUCAUGGGAUUGAUGUUCCUAUAAGACUAAUUGUACUAAUUCAAGAUAGUGGAUUUUAUUUCUUGGGUAAAAUUCCCCCCACACGUAGGUGUGGUUUCACCGAACUGCAUUAACAAUAAUUUGUGUUCUUCAUUGCUUUAAUUGUUAUUUGAUAUGUAUCUUGAAAAUUAGUUUUUUCUGGUAUACAAUGUCCCAUAAAUCAUGUCUAACAUUUGUCCCCAAAAUCAGUCAUUUGUCUUAAACUAGUUGUACACAUUUUCACAGGCAUCUGGUCCAACAUUUAUCCAUGCCUGAAUAGAAGUUGAGGGCUACAGCUUGCAACUGAUAUAUAUUAUGCUUAUAUUAUGGACAAUGUAACUGUUUGUUACUUUUGUUAUCCCAUGAUAAGUGAUUAUCACCAAAGAAUUGAAAGUUUCCACUAGUGAUUUUUCUUUCUAUUUUAUCUCUAACAUAGUCAACAUCACAAAAUAUAACUAGAUUGUAAUCAUUUAUUUUUUUAUAAA
rnacentral:lncRNA from 1 species